UGGGGAAUAUUGCACAAUGGGCGCAAGCCUGAUGCAGCCAUGCCGCGUGUAUGAAGAAGGCCUUCGGGUUGUAAAGUACUUUCAGCGGGGAGGAAGGGAGUAAAGUUAAUACCUUUGCUCAUUGACGUUACCCGCAGAAGAAGCACCGGCUAACUCCGUGCCAGCAGCCGCGGUAAUACGGAGGGUGCAAGCGUUAAUCGGAAUUACUGGGCGUAAAGCGCACGCAGGCGGUUUGUUAAGUCAGAUGUGAAAUCCCCGGGCUCAACCUGGGAAACUGCAGCUGAUACUGGCAAGCUUGAGUCUCGUAGAGGGGGGUAGAAUUCCAGGUGUAGCGGUGAAAUGCGUAGAGAUCUGGAGGAAUACCGGUGGCGAAGGCGGCCCCUUGGACGAAGACUGACGCUCAGGUGCGAAAGCGUGGGGAGCAAACAGG
rnacentral:rRNA from 1 species